rnacentral:sRNA from 1 species
GAAUCCUGUUGCCACGCGUCGUUCUUGCUGGCGGGACAUUGGGCGCGCGACACCUAAGUCCUCUCCCUUCUUCACUCAUUCAUUAACUUUUCACUUUUCCUACUUUCUAGAGAACCACAGACUCCAGAAGUAUACGUGGGCGUGUGUAAAGACAGGAGCUCCAGACUAGAGAAGAAGCAUGACUUGUACCUGAGAAGGACAAUGGGUUUUCCAUUAUUGAGAAAUAGAUCUCACACACAGUCACUGGGAAAUGAAGGCUCAUCACAGCACUUAGCUUGACUUUGAUUAAGGGAAUUAACUUCAUGUACUCUGAUCUGUUACCUUCAGUGCUGUUACUUCUUAACUACCCUCUCAGCUUUUGACUUCAAAGAGAAUUGAACUUUAAGGGUCAACUUUCCUGCUUGGAUAUAUAACCAAGUGAUAUCGUGGCCAUUGUACUUGGGAGGAAAUUUCUGCUUAAAGAGGGUAAUAGUUACGAGAUUGACAUAAGUCUUAGAAGAGACUUUGGACUUUAAAACAAGGUUGAGACUAUUAUCGACUAUGGGGACUUCUGAAGUUGGAGUAAAUGCAUUUUGUAGUAUGAUGUGGCUAAAAUCUUAUGGAAACCAAGUCACAGAAGUUGGUGAUUUGAAUAAAAAUGGCCCCCAUAGGUUCA